UACGUAGGGACCAAGCGUUGCUCGGAAUCACUGGGCGUAAAGCGCACGUAGGCGGACUUCUAAGUCAGGGGUGAAAUCCUGGAGCUCAACUCCAGAACUGCCUUUGAUACUGGGAAUCUCGAGUCCGGGAGAGGUGAGUGGAACUGCGAGUGUAGAGGUGAAAUUCGUAGAUAUUCGCAAGAACACCAGUGGCGAAGGCGGCUCACUGGCCCGGUACUGACGCUGAGGUGCGAAAGCGUGGGGAGCAAACAGG
rnacentral:rRNA from 1 species